AUUAAAACCUAUUCAAGGUGAUCUCUAUAAUAAGCCCUGUCAUUCACCUGGUUCUCAUACAUGCUUCUGAAUGAGCAAGAAAGAAGACAUUAAGGAGGGCGCAAUCAUCAGCUGAGAGGGAAGAGGUCAGAGUGCAACACGGAAGGCUGUGGUAUAAAGUGGGAAAGGAAGAUGAGCAAAAAUAGUUCCAGUCUAGGUUUGAAGUCACUCCCACCAAGGGACGGUGGUAGGAUCUGUGCCAGGUGAACCGAAAAAGCAAGUGCCUUGGAAAGACCAGAAAGACUGAAGGCCUCCCUGGGGAAAGGCCAGGAGAAGCAGCCUCACACUCCAGGUUUCCAUGUGCAUGUCUGCUGGCAAGACACGUCCUGUCACACAGCACAAGGAAGGGAUGACUGCACACGAAGCUUUAAACAUAGGUCACCAUGAACUAACACCAAAGUUUGCCAGGUUUAUUAGUUUUCUAGAGCCGCCAUUAACAAAUUACCAAAAACUGGGUGGCUUAAAACAGGAGAAAUGUAAUGUCUCACAGCUGUGGUAGCUAAAAGUCUGAAGUCAAGGAGUCAGCAGUGUUGGUUCUUUCUGGAGGUCCUGAGAGAGAAUUUGUUCUCUGCCUCUCUCUUAGCUUCUGGAGCUUGCCAGCAAUCCUCGGUGUUCCUUGGACUGUAUCUGCAUCACUCACGUCUGACACGUAGUCUUCUCUUCCUGUCUGUGUCAACAUUCAAAUGUCCCUCUUCUUACGAGGACACCAGCCAAUGGACUAGGUUCCACCUUACAUUACAUUUGAAAAGACACUAUUUCUAAAUAAGAUUACAUUCAUUGGUACUGGGGGUAAAAACUUGAACAUAUCUUUUAGGGGGACAUCACUGAACCCACAAUACCAGAUCUUUCAAAAGCAACCAUCACCAGUAUGAUCUGGGACUUUGUAGCACAAUGGGAGGACAAUAUAGAAUGUUAAAGCUCAAAGCAACCUUAGAAACCACCAAAUCCAAGUACCUUCCUUUACAGGUGAUUAAGAGAUCUUUGCAAAGCAGCGAUUUGCAACCAACUGCAGUUUUGAGACCCCCGGGUACAAUCAAUUGUGAAAGACGAGGCAGUAAACUGUUAUUGAUAAAAGUCCUAAGCAGUGAGGAUGAUUCACUUUUCUUAUACACAAAGAUAGACUGAGGGCUGUGCCCAGAAUCAUCUCACUCAAAUUGACGUAUGUUUCUUGUGUAGGAGAGAAUGGGAGCUGUGGCGGGAGACACAGCUGGAGCUGAGAGUCGUCUGUAACAUGCAAUCCAUCGUAACAUCUGCCUCCAAGGAGGUUUGUCAAGCAUGAGAAUGUCAUUCAUCUGUGUACCCCAGCACAAAGAAGGCUGAAGACCUCCAUUCUACACAACGACUUUGCCAGACAAAGACUGUGUGAUAUACCUGUGCUCAUCCCAGUUUCCAGACUGGGAAUUGCAGGAAGGGGUUUCAAGGGACAAUUGUAUCCCACCCCUUUAGCUGCCUUUAUUUUUUUUUCGUUUUUCCUUUCGUGGAUGUAGCAAUGCAUGAGCCAGGUGUACAAAGCAGAGAAACAGGGGAAGCAAGAGAAAGGAGGAUUUGAGAGAAAUAGGCAAAUGGACUAGCAGAGUACAACUUCAAACAAGGAGGCUUAGCAGGGCAGGCUGCCGCAGAGAGCAAAACAUGUGAGAGGCAGAAUCGAAGGAAAAUCUUUCCCACGCUACUGAAGACCUACCUAAGCACAAAAUGUUUUCAGUCUUCUCCCUUCCAGAAUGAGGAAAACAAAGAGAUGUAUAAGUUAUAAAGAGGGAGAGAGGAGAAGAAACACACAAGCAUGUAUCGGAAGUCCACUGUAGGCCAGGAAACAUGCUAGACAUGGAAGAUUCCAUCUCAUGGCAACUUCACAAUCCACAGCACCUAGGUGUUAUCCCCAUUUCACAGAGGAGGAAAUCGCAGAUCAGUGUAUCUGAGCACUUGGUCAACGUCACACUGCUGGUUCUGAUGGAACGAUGAUGAAACCUAGGACUCGGACCCAGGGCAGCUCUUCCCAAGAAGAAAAGGGGAGAGGAAGAGAGUACCACACCUCUUCUCCUGUUGUUUCUUGAAAACAAAAAAAUUCACAUGCUUUUGGAUAUGAAAAUUUUCUAAAGGACAGUAAAAAAUAGGAUAGGUGAAGACAUAUUAUUUGGGUGCUGCUUUUGAUUACUGUCUGGAAUCUCUGUAUAAGAUGACAGUAUAGAGAAAUGAAGAAAGUUAUCAUUGGGUUAGUUUCAUGGAAGGUGGGAGGCGGAAAACCCACAUGGGGCUUCACUGACAUUCCAGACUCAACAAUUUUAAUGGAACAGAACUAGGCAAGACAUGCGUUCUUUAUUUUUAUAUUUCAUUUUAUGUAUUUCAUCUUAAGAUCAAAGCUACAGAGCCCUGAUCCCAGAGAGGGGAGGAUCUGAGGUCUCAGCAGGUCUAUGAUGUACUUUCUAUACAGCACUGGCUCCGCUAUGUAGGUGUCCAGAUUCAAACUACAGUAUUCUCCUCAAACUAGAGAAGACGGUUUGAAGGACCAGUAAGGGUCCGAUGUAUAUAAGGCAGCCUCAAUGUAUGGACUUUGAAUAGAAAAGGAAAACAGUCCUAUCUAUGUACCUGUCUAAGUUUGGGUCACCUGAUUGGAAAUGGAUAGCUUUGUAAGUACAGUCCAGUUUCCUGGACACAAUGAAAUCUUCCUAAAUAGAGCCAUGUCUUCGGCUGUUACACUUGUCAUAAAGACCUGAUUAGAGA